AUGGAACGCUGCUUCCGCUGCCUAGUGCGUGAUCACUAUGUGAGGGACUGCCGUGACCCUUUGCGGUGCCGGCGGUGCUGGCAGGUAGGCCACCUCCAGUGUGAUUGCUCUGCUAUAUUACCUCCCCCUCUCCAUAGCUCUCCAUCCACCCCAAGCUUUCAAGCCUCCUCUAGUCAAGCCAUCCUCCCUUUGCCAGCUCCAACCAUAGCCUUGCCCACUCCGCCCCCUCCCAUGGCCGACUUCAUCUCGCUGCCGCUGGCGAGCUCCGACUCGGAGGGUGAUCAAUCACCUAUCCCCGCUGAACCCCACCUCAUCUUCUCGUUCCCGGAACAAACGGAGGCUGCCGAGACCGUGGAGGAGGAGGAGGACCCGGAAGAGGUCGAGUUUGAAUCAGGGGAGGAAUCCACUGAUUCCGACGCGAUCCCGUCCGUUUUCCUCCCCUCCCCACCUAGGCACCGCCGAGACUACGCCAAUGUUUUCGUGCCAUACACACCCAUAGAACACUUCCAGAACCUUGCCUAUGCUUUCGUCAACCCUCCACACCCUUCUCCCCAAGCUUGCAUCCGCCGUGCCCUUCAAGGUGGGGCCGGUGACCCUCAAGUGUCGAUUAGGGCUUCCUCGUAUGGUGCUGGUCUGGUAGUGUUUGGGUCAGCCUACGAAAGAGGAAUCUCUAUCCUUUCUAGUCCUUUCAACUGCCCCCUCAACUCCGUAGAUCUAGUGCGCCACGAAGACACGGAAAAUAGGUUCCUCUUUCGCCUUGGCACUGUAUCAGCCCUAAAUAUCGAGGACUUUCCUAUUGAGUACUGGUUCACCCCCACCAUAAUGAACUCUGUUGUUCCUUUUGCCUGUCCCAUCGAAAUCGACCCGGUCUGCCUAUCUGGGGUCGAUUACUCUGCUGUCCUAGUCUCUGUCAAAAGCCGCAGUCUCACUGAUGUCCCACACUCUAUCCCUGUCCACGGCUUCUCCGGCCUUGGCGCCAUCGCCACUGUCCUUGUCGUCCGGUCGCAAGAGCUGCCUCUGGACCCUGCUUUCGCGGUCCCUGACUCUGAGGACGGGCCGCACGGUGGCGGCGGGAGCGAUGAUGGUGGGGACGGGGCCGACUUCCCUGUGGGCAUGGACCCUGAACUCGCUGUCCCUCCUCCACCACCAACCGACGAGGGGCACGAUGACAGGGUGGUCCAGCUGCCAGGUGGCCUCACCAUGAUGGCCAAUCAUAAGCCUCUGGUGUGUGCUGUGCCUCUCACCGCGCGCCCUAAGUCUGUAGAAGUCAAGCUCUACCGCGGGUUCUACGACGUUCGCGUCCAGGGUGCCAACGGCGAGCGGGGCUUCUACCGCAUUCCGAUGUGGCCCGCCGGCUCCCCCAAGCUCAUCGUCGCCAAUCUCGCCUCCUGCUCCAUCGGCUACCUCGACAGGGUGGCCACGGUGGGGCCUUCUCAUGCCCCAAUGGUCGACGCCGACAUCUUCUGCCAUGACUUCCAUGGGAGGGCCUUCGUCCCUGGGGUCGAGGGUGAGGAGAGGGUCAUGGAGGCCAUUGCUCGCUUCGAUGAUGGCCUCCNNNNNNNNNNNNNNNNNNNNNNNNNNNNNNNNNNNNNNNNNNNNNNNNNNNNNNNNNNNNNNNNNNNNNNNNNNNNNNNNNNNNNNNNNNNNNNGCUGCCGUCCUGUCGCCCCGCGCUGCCUCGCCAACAAUCGUCUACAGUCUACACCCGCAGGAGUGCACGCAUCAAGAAGGCCGAGGUGCCUAAUCGCAUGACUAUGCUUGAAAAGGCCUCCCUGCGCAAGAAGAUGAAGAUGGAAGGGAAGAAGCCUGCGCCUCCUGACGAUGCCCUCCUCCCCUCGGUCGAGCUCCUGGAGCUGGCCUCCGGCGCGGUGACUCCACUGCCUCGCAAGGACGUCGUCCAGUUUGCGGCUGCCUGUGGGGUUUCCGAGAUCGACCUCAACAAGGUGGCUCAUGAAACUGAUGUGUGA
rnacentral:rRNA from 1 species